UUUCUACUCCCUCCGUCCGAAAAUACUUGUCAUCAAAAUGGAUAAAAAGAGAUGUAUCUAAAACUAAAAUACGUCUAGAUACAUUUCCUUUUAUCCAUUUUGAUGACAAGUAUUUCCGGACGGAGGGAGUUUUUG
rnacentral:pre_miRNA from 1 species